rnacentral:rRNA from 1 species
GUGGGGAAUCUUCCGCAAUGGACGAAAGUCUGACGGAGCGACGCCGCGUGAGUGAAGAAGGCCUUCGGGUCGUAAAGCUCUGUCAUCAGGGACGAACGGCCGGUGGAGUGGAAAGCCACCGGAUUGACGGUACCUGAGAAGGAAGCCACGGCUAACUACGUGCCAGCAGCCGCGGUAAUACGUAGGUGGCAAGCGUUGUCCGGAAUUAUUGGGCGUAAAGCGCGCGCAGGUGGGAUCUUAAGUCCAUUUUGAAAGUUCGGAGCUCAACUCCGUGAUGGGAUGGAAACUGGGAUUCUUGAGUACCGGAGAGGAAAGCGGAAUUCCCCGUGUAGCGGUGAAAUGCGUAGAUAUGGGGAGGAACACCAGUGGCGAAGGCGGCUUUCUGGACGGUGUCUGACACUGAGGCGCGAAAGCCAGGGGAGCGAACGGGAUUAGAAACCCGAGUAGUCC